AGAGUUUGAUCCUGGCUCAGAUUGAACGCUGGCGGCAUGCCUUACACAUGCAAGUCGAACGGCAGCACGGGAGCAAUCCUGGUGGCGAGUGGCGAACGGGUGAGUAAUAUAUCGGAACGUGCCCAGUCGUGGGGGAUAACGUAGCGAAAGCUACGCUAAUACCGCAUACGAUCUACGGAUGAAAGCGGGGGAUCGCAAGACCUCGCGCGAUUGGAGCGGCCGAUAUCAGAUUAGCUAGUUGGUGGGGUAAAAGCCCACCAAGGCGACGAUCUGUAGCUGGUCUGAGAGGACGACCAGCCACACUGGAACUGAGACACGGUCCAGACUCCUACGGGAGGCAGCAGUGGGGAAUUUUGGACAAUGGGCGCAAGCCUGAUCCAGCAAUGCCGCGUGCAGGAUGAAGGCCUUCGGGUUGUAAACUGCUUUUGUACGGAACGAAACGGUUCGCUUUAAUACAGCGGGCUAAUGACGGUACCGUAAGAAUAG
rnacentral:rRNA from 1 species